UGGGGGGAGCCCCUGGGGGUCCUUGCUCAGCUCCCUCUCCCCCUGUCAGGCAGGCACCACCUCGUAGAUGUCCCCUAGCUGGGUUCAGGGGUCACGUGGGGCCAAUUCUCUUUUAUGGUCAAUUUCUCAGGGUUUCCCUCUUCCCUGGGAACUGUGUAUAUGCACGGGGACAGGGGGUCAUAACUGGAUGCCAGCUGGCCGGACCCCGUGCAAACGGAGUUUGCCAAGGAGGAGGUGAAUCCACAUACAGAGAUCUGUGCAAACAGGCCGAGGGACAGGGGCUCCGUCAAGCAGGCUAAGAGGCCCUCUUCCAUCCUCACUAUCCUGGCUUCCGGGUUGAGGUUCUGCCAUUUCUUCCCAAGCCACUGUGCCAGAAGCCUUCUUUGGCCAACCCCCUGAGACCCGUUAGGAGAAGUCUUAUGCUCUAAGAGGAAGGAUGAGGGCAGACUUCAGAAGGGACUUUCCAAAGGUCGAGGCCAGAUAGGGAUAAAACAGAGCCAGGCUGAGCUAUUAUUGCUCCCCAGCUAUGAAGGAGCAAGCAGGGGCUCUGGGGGCAGUGUUGAAGCUGGGCCUGUGUCCUCUCCCAGCCCUGACCCUGGGCACCUACUCAGCAGAGCGCCCUCCUGUCCCCGCUGGACCUCAGCUUUCUCGCUGCUAACAGGAGGAGGUGGAAAAGCCCCUUCAGGGUUGGCCCCUCUCUCGGCCUAUGGGGAGACUGGGAAACAGACAGCCCGGGGCCAGGGCGCAGAAGGCCUGGGUCCCAGGCACGGCUGCCUGUAACUUGCUGUGUGACCCUGGGCAGCUUGCUUGUCCUCUCUGAUUCCAGCCUACCUGGGAGCAGCUCAGCUCAUUUCGAGACUUCAUAGUAUUUUUAAGAAGGAACACCCAGGCCUCGGGGCUUCGGAGGGCACCCGCAGGCUCCUCUCCCCCUGGACAGGGCUGUGGUAGCGGGGGAGGAACCGAUUGGAAAUCCAGGUGGCCAGGCCCAGAGGGAACUGGGCUAGCGGUGGAACAGGAAGGAAGAAGAGAGAGACAGAAUGCGAGCAGGACAGGAGCAGAGAGAGAGGGAGACGCAGAAUCUGAAGCAGGCUCCAGGCUCCGAGCUGUCAGCACAGAGCCCGACGCGGGGCUCGGACCCACAAACCGUGAGAUCGUGACCUGAGCCGAAGUCGGACACUCAAGCGACUGAGCCACCCAGGCGCCCC